AUUUACGGCCAUGCCACCAUAGGCACGCCCGAUCUCGUCUGAUCUCGGAAGCUAAGCAGGGUCGGGCCUGGUUAGUACUUGGUUGGGAGACCUCCUCGGAAGGCCAGGUUGCUGUAAGUA
ensembl:rRNA 5S_rRNA 5S ribosomal RNA